rnacentral:tRNA from 1 species
GACUGGUUGGCGCAGCUAUUAGCGCACCUGAUUUCUGAGAAGGGUGUUGUGGGUUCGAUCCCCACAUCGGUCA